AGCUGGUUAGUUCUGGGGAGAAGAUUAGUAAACUUCUGAAUCAUUAUUUUUUAACUGUCUUCACCCAGUGGUAAGUGGGUGGGGUAUGCAGGGGGUUUAAUGAAGUGUAAGGGGACAGACAGGGUGUAGUGAGUUGACAGACACACAGACAGACAAACAGCCCCUCCAGACCCACCUAUGGCAUACAGCGUCAGUCCAGAGUACAGCCCCAGGUUGGUCUCGUUAGCCCCGAUGAGGAUGAAAGCAGGAAUCAUCAUCAUUAGGCCCUGUGGAUGGUGAGGGUGGUACAGCAGGCAGUGGUGGGUUAAAUAAUAUUGUUACUGAUAAAUUCUGUUGUUUUAUAUUAUAAUUAUUUGGCUACACAGUAAAAAUAUAGAUUUGAAAA